rnacentral:rRNA from 1 species
CCUACGGGGGGCAGCAGUGGGGAAUAUUGCACAAUGGGCGCAAGCCUGAUGCAGCCAUGCCGCGUGUGUGAAGAAGGCCUUCGGGUCGUAAAGCACUUUCAGCGGGGAGGAAGGCGGUGAGGUUAAUAACCUCAUCGAUUGACGUUACCCGCAGAAGAAGCACCGGCUAACUCCGUGCCAGCAGCCGCGGUAAUACGGAGGGUGCAAGCGUUAAUCGGAAUUACUGGGCGUAAAGCGCACGCAGGCGGUCUGUCAAGUCGGAUGUGAAAUCCCCGGGCUCAACCUGGGAACUGCAUUCGAAACUGGCAGGGUAGGGUCUUGUAGAGGGGGGUAGGAUUCCAGGUGUAGCGGUGAAAUGCGUAGAGAUCUGGAGGAAUACCGGUGGCGAAGGCGGCCCCCUGGACAAAGACUGACGCUCAGGUGCGAAAGCGUGGGGAGCAAACAGGAUUAGAUACCCUAGUAGUC